UCCUACAGCCACACCUCUCUGGAUGUGUCUCAUCUCGUCUGUUCUCUGAAGCUAAACAGGGCUGGGCCUGGUCUGUACUUGGAUGGGAAACCACCUGGAAAUGCCAAGGUCUGUAGGCU
rnacentral:rRNA from 1 species